rnacentral:lncRNA from 1 species
AUUUAAUUGAUCAUGAGAUGUUAGGCAUGCAGCAGAAAAAAAAUUUGCCUUACUGUUUCUACUACUAUAUGGUAACUGUUGAAUCCCAGCCUAAUCCACUAAUUGAACACCUGGGGAAGGACCCGGUCAGCCCUGGGAGCACAGGUGAAGGCAAUUCAGCUGUGUGAUAGGAAGGGCUGCAGCCUGGCUGCAGUCUCUCAGUUCUCCUUUAAGGGUUGAUUGCCAAGGGGGAGGAUCUCUGGUUACAGUUCCCUCUCUUGUGGAGUUUUCCCUCUGAGCCUACAUCUUCAGAAACUGGUGAGCACUUUUCCUUUGUAACAUUUUUCCAUUUGCACUUGUCCCUUUGUUACUGCUCUUCUUUAUCACCAUUCCACUUGUUGACCUUUCUGAGUGUAACGUAUUGCUAAUAUACAUUGAUAGUUAAGUGAUAGACUAGUCCUAUUUCCACACAAAGAAGUUGUUAUAAAGGACUUGUAAAUGGCAGACGUUCUCAAAAGAGCAGGCUGAUCAUUAAGGCUUAGAUGCCUUUUAUGGCUGCAUUAUAUGAUUGUGUUUAAUAUCUUGGAGGGACUGAUAGUGCAACUAGUUGAAACACGAACUUCUGAUUUACCUGGGGCAAAUGAGUGCAGCAUUCUGUGCUUGUGUAUUGUUAACAAAUGGUUCUCUUGUAGGGCUUGCUAUUCUCUCUAGUAGUAAGAAGCUACUGCUGCGAAGAAGCCAUACUGGAGCAUGAGUUGCUCACAAAUAUGCGUAAUUGAUGGAAAAAGGAGAAAUAUUCUUUGGAUGCUAUGCCGCCAGCUAUUUGCAUGGCACCACAGAUGUGUGUGGCACUCAGGAGUCUGAUCUGCAGUGCUUUCUCUACCCCUUUUGCCCUGAGGAUCCUAUUAGCAGAAAGCUGAGCAACUCUGUUUCAUCAGAAAUAAAUUAUGCCUCACUUUUUUAA